AGGGUUUGAUUAUGGCUCAGGACGAACGCUGGCGGCGUGCCUAACACAUGCAAGUCGAACGGAGUUUAGCCCUUCGGGGGUAAACUUAGUGGCGGACGGGUGAGUAACGCGUGAGCAACCUGCCUAGAAGAGGGGGAUAACGACUGGAAACGGUCGCUAAUACCGCAUAACAUUCCACUGCCGCAUGGUGGAGGAAUCAAAGGAGCAAUCCGCUUUUAGAUGGGCUCGCGUCCGAUUAGCUAGUUGGUGGGGUAAAGGCCUACCAAGGCGACGAUCGGUAGCCGAACUGAGAGGUUGAUCGGCCACAUUGGGACUGAGACACGGCCCAG
rnacentral:rRNA from 1 species